GUUAUAUGGUCAAGUGACUAAGCGUAUACGGUGGAUGCCUUGGCAGUCAGAGGCGAUGAAGGACGUAGUAGCCUGCGAAAAGCUUCGGGGAGGUGGCAAACAACCUUUGAUCCGGAGAUGUCCGAAUGGGGAAACCCACCCAGUGUAAGCUGGGUAUCCUUAACUGAAUUCAUAGGUUAAGGAGGCGAACGCGGAGAACUGAAACAUCUAAGUACCCGUAGGAAUAGAAAUCAAUUGAGAUUCCCCCAGUAGCGGCGAGCGACCGGGGAACAGCCUGCAAGUGAUAGCAGUUGGGUUAGUGGAACACUCUGGAAAGGGUGGCGAUAGAGGGUGAUAGCCCCGUACACGAAAGCCUGAUUGUGGUACUGAGCUUGCGACAAGUAGGUCGGGACACGUGUUAUCCUGACUGAACAUGGGGGGACCAUCCUCCAAGGCUAAAUACUCCUGACUGACCGAUAGUGAACCAGUACCGUGAGGGAAAGGCGAAAAGAACCCCGGAGAGGGGAGUGAAAUAGAACCUGAAACCGUAUACGUACAAGCAGUGGGAGCACCCUCGUGGUGUGACUGCGUACCUUUUGUAUAAUGGGUCAGCGACUUAUUGUCUGUAGCGAGCUUAACCGUUUAGGGGAGGCGUAGGGAAACCGAGUCUUAAUAGGGCGACUUAGUUGCAGGCAAUAGACCCGAAACCGGGCGAUCUAGCCAUGGCCAGGUUGAAGGUGCCGUAACAGGCACUGGAGGACCGAACCCACUUAUGUUGAAAAAUGAGGGGAUGAGCUGUGGCUCGGAGUGAAAGGCUAAUCAAGCCCGGAGAUAGCUGGUUCUCCUCGAAAUCUAUUUAGGUAGAGCGUCGUGUCUUACCCUGGGGGGUAGAGCACUGUUUCGGCUAGGGGGUCAUCCCGACUUACCAACCCGAUGCAAACUCCGAAUACCCAGGAGUACAAUCACGGCAGACAGACAGCGGGUGCUAACGUCCGUUGUCGAGAGGGCAACAACCCAGACCGCCAGCUAAGGUCCCUAAUACCAGUUAAGUGGGAAACGAUGUGGGAAGGCUUAGACAGCUAGGAGGUUGGCUUAGAAGCAGCCACCCUUUAAAGAAAGCGUAAUAGCUCACUAGUCGAGUCGGCCUGCGCGGAAGAUAUAACGGGGCUAAAUUGGUAACCGAAGCUGCGGAUGCACGGUUUCUUCGGAUUCUGUGCAUGGUAGAGGAGCGUUCUGUAAGCCUGUGAAGGUGUACCGGGAGGUAUGCUGGAGGUAUCAGAAGUGCGAAUGCUGACAUGAGUAACGAUAAGGGGGGUGAAAAACCUCCCCGCCGGAAGAUCAAGGUUUCCUGUCCAACGCUAAUCGGGACAGGGUGAGUCGGCCCCUAAGGCGAGGCAGAAAUGCGUAGUCGAUGGGAAGCGGGUUAAUAUUCCCGCACUUCUUAUUAUUGCGAUGGAGGGACGGAGAAGGCUAGGCCAGCGCGGUGUUGGUUGUCCGCGUUUAAGGUUGUAGGCUGGGGUUUUAGGUAAAUCCGGAACCCUAAGGCUGAGAACUUAUGACGAUCCCCUGGGGAGACCCUCGGGAGAAGUGGUUGAUGCCAUGCUUCCAAGAAAAGCUUCUAAGCAUAGAUAGUAAGGAACCGUACUGUAAACCGACACAGGUGAUCAGGUAGAGAAUACCAAGGCGCUUGAGAGAACUCGGGUGAAGGAACUAGGCAAAAUGGUACCGUAACUUCGGGAGAAGGUACGCCGACUUUGGUGAUGGGACUUGCUCCCUAAGCUGAGGUUGGUCGAAGUGACCAGGUGGCUGCGACUGUUUACUAAAAACAUAGCACUCUGCAAACACGAAAGUGGACGUAUAGGGUGUGACGCCUGCCCGGUGCCGGAAGGUUAAUUGAUGGGGUUAUCUUCGGAGAAGCUCUUGAUCGAAGCCCCGGUAAACGGCGGCCGUAACUAUAACGGUCCUAAGGUAGCGAAAUUCCUUGUCGGGUAAGUUCCGACCUGCACGAAUGGCGUAACGAUGGCCACACUGUCUCCACCCGAGACUCAGUGAAAUUGAAAUCGCUGUUAAGAUGCAGUGUACCCGCGGCUAGACGGAAAGACCCCGUGAACCUUUACUAUAGCUUCACACUGGACUUUGACCUUACUUGUGUAGGAUAGCUGGGAGACUUUGAAGCGUGCGCGCUAGCGUACGUGGAGUCGUCCUUGAAAUACCAGCCUGGUAAUGUUGAGGUUCUAACCUAGGUCCCUUAUCGGGAUCGGGGACAGUGUGUGGUGGGUAGUUUGACUGGGGCGGUCUCCUCCCAAAGAGUAACGGAGGAGCACGAAGGUGCGCUAAUCAUGGUCGGAAAUCAUGAGGUUAGUGUAAAGGCACAAGCGCGCUUGACUGCGAGUCUGACAAGACGAGCAGGUACGAAAGUAGGUCUUAGUGAUCCGGCGGUUCUGAAUGGAAGGGCCGUCGCUCAACGGAUAAAAGGUACUCCGGGGAUAACAGGCUGAUACCGCCCAAGAGUUCACAUCGACGGCGGUGUUUGGCACCUCGAUGUCGGCUCAUCACAUCCUGGGGCUGAAGCCGGUCCCAAGGGUAUGGCUGUUCGCCAUUUAAAGUGGUACGCGAGCUGGGUUUAGAACGUCGUGAGACAGUUCGGUCCCUAUCUGCCGUGGGCGUUGGAGAAUUGAGGGAAGCUGCUCCUAGUACGAGAGGACCGGAGUGGACGAACCUCUGGUGUUCGGGUUGUGUCGCCAGACGCAUUGCCCGGUAGCUACGUUCGGACAGGAUAACCGCUGAAAGCAUCUAAGCGGGAAGCCUCUCCCAAGAUUAAUUCUCCCUGACCCCUUGAGGGUCCUGAAGGGCCGUAGAAGACUACUACGUUGAUAGGCUGGGUGUGUAAGCGUUGUGAGGCGUUGAGCUAACCAGUACUAAUUGCCCGUGAGGCUUGACCAUAUAACUCAGAU
rnacentral:rRNA from 1 species